GUCAGAGUUUGAUCCUGGCUCAGAUUGAACGCUGGCGGCAUGCUUUACACAUGCAAGUCGAACGGUAACAGGUUAAGCUGACGAGUGGCGAGCGGGUGAGUAAUGCAUCGGAACGUGCCCGAUCGUGGGGGAUAACGCAGCGAAAGCUGCGCUAAUACCGCAUACGAUCUGAGGAUGAAAGCGGGGGACCGUAAGGCCUCGCGCGAUUGGAGCGGCCGAUAUCAGAUUAGGUAGUUGGUGGGGUAAAGGCUCACCAAGCCAACGAUCUGUAGCUGGUCUGAGACGGACGACCAGCCACGACGUGGGGACUGACGACACGGCCAGACUCCGUACGGGA
rnacentral:rRNA from 1 species